rnacentral:rRNA from 1 species
GACGUAGGGCGCGAGCGUUGUCCGGAUUUAUUGGGCGUAAAGAGCUCGUAGGCGGCUUGUUGCGUCGACUGUGAAAACCCGCGGCUUAACUGCGGGCUUGCAGUUGAUACGGGCAGGCUAGAGUUCGGUAGGGGAGACUGGAAUUCCUGGUGUAGCGGUGAAAUGCGCAGAUAUCAGGAGGAACACCGGUGGCGAAAGCAGCUCUCUGGGACGGUACUGACGCUGAGACGCGAAAGCGUGGGGAGCGAACAGG